UACGGGGGGGGGCAAGCGUUGUUCGGAAUUACUGGGCGUAAAGGGCUCGUAGGCGGCCAACUAAGUCAGACGUGAAAUCCCCAGGCUCAACCUGGGAACUGCGUCUGAUACUGGAUGGCUUGAAUUCGGGAGAGGGAUGCAGAAUUCCAGGUGUAGCGGUGAAAUGCGUAGAUAUCUGGAGGAAUACCGGUGGCGAAGGCGGCAUCCUGGACCAAUAUUGACGCUGAGGAGCGAAAAGCCAGGGGAGCAAACGGG
rnacentral:rRNA from 1 species